rnacentral:rRNA from 1 species
ACUACGGGAGGCAGCAGUGGGGGAUAUUGCACAAUGGGGGGAACCCUGAUGCAGCGACGCCGCGUGGGUGAAGAAGCGCCUCGGCGCGUAAAGCCCUGUCAGCAGGGAAGAAAAUGACGGUGCCUGAAGAAGAAGCCCCGGCUAACUACGUGCCAGCAGCCGCGGUAAUACGUAGGGGGCAAGCGUUAUCCGGAUUUACUGGGUGUAAAGGGGGCGCAGACGGCGAGGCAAGCCAGGGGUGAAAGCCCGGGGCCCAACCCCGGGACUGCUCUUGAAACUGCGUGGCGGGAGUGCAGGAGGGGCAGGCGGAAUUCCUGGUGUAGCGGUGAAAUGCGUAGAUAUCAGGAGGAACACCGGUGGCGAAGGCGGCCUGCUGGACUGCAACUGACGUUGAGGCCCGAAAGCGUGGGGAGCAAACAGGAUUAGAUACCCCUGUAGUC